AACGAACGCUGGCGGCAGGCCUAACACAUGCAAGUCGAGCGCGCCCUUCGGGGUGAGCGGCGGACGGGUGAGUAACGCGUGGGAACGUGCCCUUUUCUACGGAAUAGCCUCGGGAAACUGAGAGUAAUACCGUAUACGCCCUUUGGGGGAAAGAUUUAUCGGAAAAGGAUCGGCCCGCGUUGGAUUAGGUAGUUGGUGGGGUAAUGGCCUACCAAGCCGACGAUCCAUAGCUGGUUUGAGAGGAUGAUCAGCCACACUGGGACUGAGACACGGCCCAUACUCCUACGGGAGGCAGCAGUGGGGAAUCUUAGACAAUGGGGGCAACCCUGAUCUAGCCAUGCCGCGUGAGUGAUGAAGGCCUUAGGGUUGUAAAGCUCUUUCAGCUGGGAAGAUAAUGACGGUACCAGCAGAAGAAGCCCCGGCUAACUCCGUG
rnacentral:rRNA from 1 species